AGGCCCGUAGCUCAGUUGGUUAGAGCGCUGUCUUGACAUGGCAGAGGUCACCAGUUCAAAUCUGGUCGGGCCUACCA
rnacentral:tRNA from 1 species